UUUUUAUAAGGAUAACUACGGAAAAGCUGUAGCUAAUACUUGCUUUAAUGCUCCCGACGUGUUACGUCUUGUGAGCAUGUACUUGUUAGGCCUUUAUAAGAAAAAAGUUAAUAACUUAAGGAAUGAUAACAAAGAAGUGACACAUAAAAAGGACUCGUCCCAUUUUCUAGUGUGUAUCAAUCGAGUUUCUGACCUAUCAGCUUUUGAUGUUAGGGUAUUGGCCUAACAUGGCUAUGACGGGUA
rnacentral:rRNA from 1 species